AUACAGAGGGUGCGAGCGUUAAUCGGAAUCACUGGGCGUAAAGCGCGCGUAGGCGGCUACUUAAGUCAGAUGUGAAAUCCCCGGGCUCAACCUGGGAACUGCAUCUGAUACUGGGUAGCUAGAGUUUUGGAGAGGGAAGUAGAAUUUCAGGUGUAGCGGUGAAAUGCAUAGAGAUCUGAAGGAAUACCAGUGGCGAAGGCGACUUCCUGGCCAAAAACUGACGCUGAGGUGCGAAAGCGUGGGUAGCAAACGGGAUUAGAUACCCUAGUAGUCC
rnacentral:rRNA from 1 species